rnacentral:rRNA from 1 species
UUAAGCGACUAAGCGUACACGGUGGAUGCCCUGGCAGUCAGAGGCGAUGAAGGACGUGCUAAUCUGCGAUAAGCGUCGGUAAGGUGAUAUGAACCGUUAUAACCGGCGAUUUCCGAAUGGGGAAACCCAGUGUGUUUCGACACACUAUCAUUAACUGAAUCCAUAGGUUAAUGAGGCGAACCGGGGGAACUGAAACAUCUAAGUACCCCGAGGAAAAGAAAUCAACCGAGAUUCCCCCAGUAGCGGCGAGCGAACGGGGAGCAGCCCAGAGCCUGAAUCAGUGUGUGUGUUAGUGGAAGCGUCUGGAAAGGCGCGCGAUACAGGGUGACAGCCCCGUACACAAAAAUGCACAUGCUGUGAGCUCGAUGAGUAGGGCGGGACACGUGGUAUCCUGUCUGAAUAUGGGGGGACCAUCCUCCAAGGCUAAAUACUCCUGACUGACCGAUAGUGAACCAGUACCGUGAGGGAAAGGCGAAAAGAACCCCGGCGAGGGGAGUGAAAAAGAACCUGAAACCGUGUACGUACAAGCAGUGGGAGCACGCUUAGGCGUGUGACUGCGUACCUUUUGUAUAAUGGGUCAGCGACUUAUAUUCUGUAGCAAGGUUAACCGAAUAGGGGAGCCGAAGGGAAACCGAGUCUUAACUGGGCGUUAAGUUGCAGGGUAUAGACCCGAAACCCGGUGAUCUAGCCAUGGGCAGGUUGAAGGUUGGGUAACACUAACUGGAGGACCGAACCGACUAAUGUUGAAAAAUUAGCGGAUGACUUGUGGCUGGGGGUGAAAGGCCAAUCAAACCGGGAGAUAGCUGGUUCUCCCCGAAAGCUAUUUAGGUAGCGCCUCGUGAAUUCAUCUCCGGGGGUAGAGCACUGUUUCGGCAAGGGGGUCAUCCCGACUUACCAACCCGAUGCAAACUGCGAAUACCGGAGAAUGUUAUCACGGGAGACACACGGCGGGUGCUAACGUCCGUCGUGAAGAGGGAAACAACCCAGACCGCCAGCUAAGGUCCCAAAGUCAUGGUUAAGUGGGAAACGAUGUGGGAAGGCCCAGACAGCCAGGAUGUUGGCUUAGAAGCAGCCAUCAUUUAAAGAAAGCGUAAUAGCUCACUGGUCGAGUCGGCCUGCGCGGAAGAUGUAACGGGGCUAAACCAUGCACCGAAGCUGCGGCAGCGACGCUUAUGCGUUGUUGGGUAGGGGAGCGUUCUGUAAGCCUGCGAAGGUGUGCUGUGAGGCAUGCUGGAGGUAUCAGAAGUGCGAAUGCUGACAUAAGUAACGAUAAAGCGGGUGAAAAGCCCGCUCGCCGGAAGACCAAGGGUUCCUGUCCAACGUUAAUCGGGGCAGGGUGAGUCGACCCCUAAGGCGAGGCCGAAAGGCGUAGUCGAUGGGAAACAGGUUAAUAUUCCUGUACUUGGUGUUACUGCGAAGGGGGGACGGAGAAGGCUAUGUUGGCCGGGCGACGGUUGUCCCGGUUUAAGCGUGUAGGCUGGUUUUCCAGGCAAAUCCGGAAAAUCAAGGCUGAGGCGUGAUGACGAGGCACUACGGUGCUGAAGCAACAAAUGCCCUGCUUCCAGGAAAAGCCUCUAAGCAUCAGGUAACAUCAAAUCGUACCCCAAACCGACACAGGUGGUCAGGUAGAGAAUACCAAGGCGCUUGAGAGAACUCGGGUGAAGGAACUAGGCAAAAUGGUGCCGUAACUUCGGGAGAAGGCACGCUGAUAUGUAGGUGAAGUCCCUCGCGGAUGGAGCUGAAAUCAGUCGAAGAUACCAGCUGGCUGCAACUGUUUAUUAAAAACACAGCACUGUGCAAACACGAAAGUGGACGUAUACGGUGUGACGCCUGCCCGGUGCCGGAAGGUUAAUUGAUGGGGUUAGCGCAAGCGAAGCUCUUGAUCGAAGCCCCGGUAAACGGCGGCCGUAACUAUAACGGUCCUAAGGUAGCGAAAUUCCUUGUCGGGUAAGUUCCGACCUGCACGAAUGGCGUAAUGAUGGCCAGGCUGUCUCCACCCGAGACUCAGUGAAAUUGAACUCGCUGUGAAGAUGCAGUGUACCCGCGGCAAGACGGAAAGACCCCGUGAACCUUUACUAUAGCUUGACACUGAACAUUGAGCCUUGAUGUGUAGGAUAGGUGGGAGGCUUUGAAGUGUGGACGCCAGUCUGCAUGGAGCCGACCUUGAAAUACCACCCUUUAAUGUUUGAUGUUCUAACGUUGACCCGUAAUCCGGGUUGCGGACAGUGUCUGGUGGGUAGUUUGACUGGGGCGGUCUCCUCCUAAAGAGUAACGGAGGAGCACGAAGGUUGGCUAAUCCUGGUCGGACAUCAGGAGGUUAGUGCAAUGGCAUAAGCCAGCUUGACUGCGAGCGUGACGGCGCGAGCAGGUGCGAAAGCAGGUCAUAGUGAUCCGGUGGUUCUGAAUGGAAGGGCCAUCGCUCAACGGAUAAAAGGUACUCCGGGGAUAACAGGCUGAUACCGCCCAAGAGUUCAUAUCGACGGCGGUGUUUGGCACCUCGAUGUCGGCUCAUCACAUCCUGGGGCUGAAGUAGGUCCCAAGGGUAUGGCUGUUCGCCAUUUAAAGUGGUACGCGAGCUGGGUUUAGAACGUCGUGAGACAGUUCGGUCCCUAUCUGCCGUGGGCGCUGGAGAACUGAGGGGGGCUGCUCCUAGUACGAGAGGACCGGAGUGGACGCAUCACUGGUGUUCGGGUUGUCAUGCCAAUGGCACUGCCCGGUAGCUAAAUGCGGAAGAGAUAAGUGCUGAAAGCAUCUAAGCACGAAACUUGCCCCGAGAUGAGUUCUCCCUGACUCCUUGAGAGUCCUGAAGGAACGUUGAAGACGACGACGUUGAUAGGCCGGGUGUGUAAGCGCAGCGAUGCGUUGAGCUAACCGGUACUAAUGAACCGUGAGGCUUAACCUU